rnacentral:rRNA from 1 species
GACGAACGCUGGCGGCGUGCUUAACACAUGCAAGUCGAACGGAAAGGCCCCUUUGGGGGUACUCGAGUGGCGAACGGGUGAGUAACACGUGAGUAACCUGCCCUUGACUUCGGGAUAACUUCAGGAAACUGGGGCUAAUACCGGAUAGGAAUCCUUGCUGCAUGGUGGGGGUUGGAAAGCUUCGGCGGUUUUGGAUGGACUCGCGGCUUAUCAGCUUGUUGGUGGGGUAGUGGCUUACCAAGGCUUUGACGGGUAGCCGGCCUGAGAGGGCGACCGGCCACAUUGGGACUGAGAUACGGCCCAGACGCCUACGGGAGGCAGCAGUGGGGAAUAUUGCACAAUGGGCGGAAGCCUGAUGCAGCAACGCCGCGGGCGGGAUGACGGCCUUCGGGUUGUAAACCGCUUUCAGCAGGGGCGAAGCUUGUGGUGACGGUACCUGCAGAAGAAGCACCGGCUAACUACGUG